rnacentral:rRNA from 1 species
UCGUACCUUUUGCAUCAUGAUUUAGCCAGCAGCAUCAAGCAAAGAGAACUUUAGUUUGACACCCCGAAACUAGGUGAGCUACUCCAAGACAGCCUAACAAUAGGGCAAACCCGUCUCUGUGGCAAAAGAGUGGGAAGAGCUUCGAGUAGGGGUGACAGACCUAUCGAACCUAGUUAUAGCUGGUUGCCUGGGAACUGGAUAAAAGUUCAGCCUCCCGGCUUCUCUCUUCAUCCUUAUCCUAUUUCCCAAUGAUUCCUAAAGAAACCGCGAGAGUUAGUCAAAGGGGGGACAGCCCCUUUGAACCAAGAUACAACUUUUCCAGGAGGGUAAAGAUCAUAAUUUUCAAGGCAAGAAUGUUUUGGUGGGCCUAAAAGCAGCCAUCCCUACAGAAAGCGUUAAAGCUCAAGCAUACUCCUCGCCGUAUAUCCUGAUAACCCAAUCUUAGCCCCCUAAUCCUACCAGGCCGCCCCAUGCAAGCAUGGGGGCGACCAUGCUAAAAUGAGUAAUAAGAGGGGCCAAAGCCCCUCUCCCCGCACACGUGUACCUCGGAACGGACCCCCCACCGAAAAUUAACGGCCCAAACCAAAGAAGGUAUUGGACAAACGUAAACAUGACCUAGAAAACCGUCCAAAACAUAACCGUUACCCCCACACUGGUGUGCUUAAAGGGAAAGACUAAAAGAAAGAGAAGGAACUCGGCAAACACAUGAAGCCUCGCCUGUUUACCAAAAACAUCGCCUCUUGCAAAACUCAAGAAUAAGAGGUCCCGCCUGCCCAGUGACACUUUAGUUCAACGGCCGCGGUAUUUUGACCGUGCAAAGGUAGCGUAAUCACUUGUCUUUUAAAUGGAGACCUGUAUGAAUGGCACCACGAGGGCUUGACUGUCUCCUCUUUCAGGUCAAUGAAAUUGAUCUCCCCGUGCAGAAGCGGGGAUGAGCCCAUAAGACGAGAAGACCCUAUGGAGCUUUAGACACGAAGGCAGACCAUGUUAAGGACCCUUGAAUAAAAGACUGAACUUAGUGGCCCCCUGUCCUGAUGUCUUCGGUUGGGGCGACCAUGGGGAAACAAACAUCCCCCGUGCGGAAUGGGAGGACCACCCCUUUCUUUCUCUUCCCUCUCCUCCCACAACUAAGAGCUACAGCUCUAACUAGCAGAACUUCUGACCAUAAGUGAUCCGGCAAUGCCGAUCAGCGGACCAAGUUACCCUAGGGAUAACAGCGCAAUCCCCUUUUAGAGCCCAUAUCGACAAGGGGGUUUACGACCUCGAUGUUGGAUCAGGACAUCCUA